rnacentral:rRNA from 1 species
GAUGAACGCUGGCGGCGUGCCUAAUACAUGCAAGUCGAGCGAACAGACGAGGAGCUUGCUCCUCUGACGUUAGCGGCGGACGGGUGAGUAACACGUGGAUAACCUACCUAUAAGACUGGGAUAACUUCGGGAAACCGGAGCUAAUACCGGAUAAUAUAUUGAACCGCAUGGUUCAAUAGUGAAAGACGGUUUUGCUGUCACUUAUAGAUGGAUCCGCGCCGCAUUAGCUAGUUGGUAAGGUAACGGCUUACCAAGGCAACGAUGCGUAGCCGACCUGAGAGGGUGACUGCACACACUGGCACUGAGACACGGUCCAGACUCCUACGGGAGGCAGCAGUAGGGAAUCUUCCGCAAUGGGCGAAAGCCUGACGGAGCAACGCCGCGUGAGUGAUGAAGGUCUUCGGAUCGUAAAACGCUGUUAUUAGGGAAGAACAAAUGUGUAAGUAACUAUGCACGUCUUGACGGUACCUAAUCAGAAAGCCACGGCUAACUACGUG